UACGAAGGUCCCAAGCGUUGUUCGGAAUCACUGGGCGUAAAGGGAGCGUAGGCGGCGUGGUAAGUCAGAUGUGAAAUCCCGGGGCUCAACCCCGGAACUGCAUCCGAUACUGCCAUGCUUGAGGGUUGGGGAGGUAGCUGGAAUUCUCGGUGUAGCAGUGAAAUGCGUGGAUAUCGAGAGGAACACUCGUGGCGAAGGCGAGCUACUGGACAACAUCUGACGCUGAGGC
rnacentral:rRNA from 1 species